rnacentral:rRNA from 1 species
CACGAAGGUUAUACUGUCUCCUUUUUCUAAUCAGUGAAACUAAUCUCCCCGUGAAGAAGCGGGGAUAAUUCUAUAAGACGAGAAGACCCUAUGGAGCUUUAAACAACACAGCACUUACUAAAUAUCCUCUAAUGUUCCUGAANAUAUUNAACUCUUUAAAGUAAGAUGACUGCAAGUUUUCGGUUGGGGUGACCACGGAGUAAAUCAUAACCUCCAUGUUGAAAGAACUUUNNUCUAAGCCAAGAAUAACCAAUCUAAGCAUUAACAAAUUAACAUCUAUUGACCCAAUAAAUUUGAUCAACGAACCAAGUUACCCUAGGGAUAACAGCGCAAUCCACUUCAAGAGCUCCUAUCGACAAGUGGGUUUACGACCUCGAUGUUGGAUCAGGGUAUCCCAGUGGUGCAGCCGCUACUAAAGGUUCGUUUGUUCAACGAUUAAAACCCUACGUGAUCUGAGUU